rnacentral:rRNA from 1 species
CAGAGCCGCGGGAAUACAGAGGGUGCGAGCGUUAAUCGGAUUUACUGGGCGUAAAGCGUGCGUAGGCGGCUUCUUAAGUCGGAUGUGAAAUCCCUGAGCUUAACUUAGGAAUUGCAUUCGAUACUGGGAAGCUAGAGUAUGGGAGAGGAUGGUAGAAUUCCAGGUGUAGCGGUGAAAUGCGUAGAGAUCUGGAGGAAUACCGAUGGCGAAGGCAGCCAUCUGGCCUAAUACUGACGCUGAGGUACGAAAGCAUGGGGAGCAAACAGGAUUAGAUACCCCUGUAGUCCCUGUCUCUUAUACA